ACAGCUUAGGGCCUCCUAUUCUGCACGGGACGCACAGGUGACCCCUUCGUGCCCCCCUCUGCCAGCAGCGGCCACCCAGGGCUCACCGGAUGGCAAUGGUGUUUGGGGACCUGAGGUGGCUCCGUGUCCCACCUCUUCCACUUGUCCCCCUACGUCCCUGCCCUUGCUGGGAAGUGCGCUCUGGAGUGGAGGGGAUGGUGACACCCAGAUACCAAACUGGGGACUCAGGAAACUACAGGAGAGAGGAGAGGGCGCAGAGGAAGGACCUGGCCUGGAGGUGAGGAGACAUCCUCCCGUGCAUGGGGCUUCCCACCGUACAUCUGGCACCCACCUCACAGGUGAACCUUCCCGCUCCUAAAUGAUGACUGAUCCAUCUGAGAAGAAAAAGCUCUAUGUGGAGAACAGAGUGUCCCAGGAUUACUUUUUUUCUUUUCCUUUCUUCAACUUUUCUGUCUGAUCUCUUCAUUGCCAAGUUCUGAGUCUAUGGAAAAAUUGAUCCCAUCCUCUG